rnacentral:rRNA from 1 species
GAUUAACGCUAGCGGCAGGCAUAAUACAUGCAAGUUGAACGGCAGCACAGGUAGCAAUACUUGGUGGCGAGUGGCGCACGGGUGCGUAACACGUAUGCAACCUACCCUAUACAGGCGAAUAACCUUUAGAAAUGAGGGCUAAUACGCCGUAGUAUUACAGCUGGGCAUCUAUUUGUAAUUAAAGAUUUAUCGGUAUAGGAUGAGCAUGCGUCCCAUUAGUUAGUUGGUAAGGUAACGGCUUACCAAGACGAUGAUGGGUAGGGGAUCUGAGAGGACUUACCCCCACAAUGGUACUGAGACACGGACCAGACUCCUACGGGAGGCAGCAGUAAGGAAUAUUGGGCAAUGGCCGCGAGGCUGACCCAGCCAUGCCGCGUGCAGGAAGACGGCCUUAUGGGUUGUAAACUGCUUUUAUACGGGAAUAAUAGAGUGUACGCGUACAUUUAUGAAAGUAUCGUAUGAAUAAGCAUCGGCUAACUCCGUG